rnacentral:misc_RNA from 1 species
GAUGAAGAACGUAGCAAAAUGCGAUAAGUAAUGUGAAUUGCAGAAUUCAGUGAAUCAUCGAAUCUUUGAACGCAUAUUGCGCUCUCUGGUAUUCCGGAGAGCAUGCUUGUUUGAGUAUCAGUAAACACCUCAACUUCCAUAUCUUUUUUGAAAUGGGAGUUGGACUUGAGUGAUCCCAACGCUUUUCCUCACCGAAAAGUGGCGGGUUACUUGAAAUGCAGGUGCAGCUGGACUUUUCUCUGAGCUAUAAGCAUAUCUAUUUAGUCUGCCUAAAAAACAGAUUAUUACCUUUGCUGCAGCUAACAUAAAGGAGAUUAGUUCUUGUGCUGACUGAUGCAGGAUUCACAAAGACAGGCUUCGGCCGACUUUGUAAACUCGAUCUCAAAUCAAGUAAGACUACCCGCUGAACUUAAGCAUAUCAAUAAGCGGAGGA